UACAGAGGUCUCAAGCGUUGUUCGGAUUCAUUGGGCGUAAAGGGUGCGUAGGCGGCGCGGUAAGUCGGGUGUGAAAUCUUGGAGCUUAACUCCGAAACUGCAUCGAUACUGCCGUGCUUGAGGACUGGAGAGGAGACUGGAAUUUACGGUGUAGCGGUGAAAUGCGUAGAUAUCGUAAGGAAGACCAGUGGCGAAGGCGGGUCUCUG
rnacentral:rRNA from 1 species